CAUGAGAGACAUGUAAGAGUUUUAAUCAUGGAGUGCAGUAGACUAGCUGGGACGUCUGUGACAGCUUGAUUUCUUCCACAUCUCAGAUUUCCACAGUGUACCCCGGUGUUUUCUCACCUUCAGUCACUCAUAGGCAUCUUAGAAGUUACAGAGACCGAACCUUAAAGCAAACCAGGAACCUCCAGAACUCUCUCCUACCAGGAGGCAAAUUGAGAUUGCCUCAACUUACAACCUAGCUCUGCCCGUGACGGUGCCAGCCAGACCACCUGAUAGAUAAGACAUCCGAAGCAAGUCACAUAGACUCUGCACUUCAUCGCCCUCUCCCCUGCAUGCCAUUCACGCCAAGCCCCACUUUCAAAGCUCCUGCCUUCUGCCCCAAAGGCUUUAGUGGCUUCCUCAAGGCAGCCUGUACUACUUCCCCUCAACUAGCUCUGGAAUAAAGCCA
rnacentral:lncRNA from 10 species